UGCAAGUCGAGCGAAUGGAUUAAGAGCUUGCUCUUAUGAAGUUAGCGGCGGACGGGUGAGUAACACGUGGGUAACCUGCCCAUAAGACUGGGAUAACUCCGGGAAACCGGGGCUAAUACCGGAUAACAUUUUGAACUGCAUGGUUCGAAAUUGAAAGGCGGCUUCGGCUGUCACUUAUGGAUGGACCCGCGUCGCAUUAGCUAGUUGGUGAGGUAACGGCUCACCAAGGCAACGAUGCGUAGCCGACCUGAGAGGGUGAUCGGCCACACUGGGACUGAGACACGGCCCAGACUCCUACGGGAGGCAGCAGUAGGGAAUCUUCCGCAAUGGACGAAAGUCUGACGGAGCAACGCCGCGUGAGUGAUGAAGGCUUUCGGGUCGUAAAACUCUGUUGUUAGGGAAGAACAAGUGCUAGUUGAAUAAGCUGGCACCUUGACGGUACCUAACCAGAAAGCCACGGCUAACUACGUGCCAGCAGCCGCGGUAAUACGUAGGUGGCAAGCGUUAUCCGGAAUUAUUGGGCGUAAAGCGCGCGCAGGUGGUUUCUUAAGUCUGAUGUGAAAGCCCACGGCUCAACCGUGGAGGGUCAUUGGAAACUGGGAGACUUGAGUGCAGAAGAGGAGAGUGGAAUUCCAUGUGUAGCGGUGAAAUGCGUAGAGAUAUGGAGGAACACCAGUGGCGAAGGCGACUUUCUGGUCUGUAACUGACACUGAGG
rnacentral:rRNA from 1 species